GAACUCUACAGCAUUAUACAACAGCCAUAUCAUGGUCAAAGUACUUCUACAGCUUGAAACUCUCUGCUUCAGCAUUCUGUGCUCCAGCAACUCUCAUGGCUCCACUAGCUCUACUCAGGAAGCUCUCUGAGGCGAUGUCUGCUUUUGAGGACAGAACGCUGCCAAGGAAUGUAGAUGAUGCAAUGCAAGCCGCGCACUCUAUAACAGAUGUAUUGUAUGCCGGAAUCGACUUAUGCAGUACAGGUGUGCAAGCAUGUUCAAAGAUAUACCUGGUGAUUCCUUUGCAAUGACCAUGACAUUACUGGAAGAGUAAUAGGAACCAUCCAUUUGAAUUUAAAAACCAAGCUAAUACAAAAUAAAUAAGACUCAACCUGUAAAUGUGGAGGAGGAGGAGAAGAUGGUGGCGUGAUGCAGCUUGUGCAGACACUCCGGUGAAUGAUAUCUAUAAUCUGUCAAGUAGGAUGCUGUGCACAAUCCUGAUUUGAUGGAGACAGACGUGAGAGAACGGAGGAACAUCUGGAGAAACUUCUGAAAUGCCUUUUUCGCUGCCACUGUUACUGUGUGAUCCAGGAUCUCCAGAGGGGAAGGCCUCGAAUCCUUAGCUUUGCUUGUUGUUCGGUGGCUGGGACGGGGUUGAAGCGCUCGGCAGAGAUGGUGCUCGGUGCUCGGUGUCGAAGGGCUGGUUGGAGGCCCGAAGUUUUCAGACGAACUCAGAGUCGGCUGGGGUCGGGUGCUUCCAAUGCAUCAACAGUUGUCGGUGCCUGGAGGUUUAUGGCAGAGAGAGUUUCUCCCUUCUGCCGCCUGCUAUCGGGGACUAUCGGGAGUCGAUCGGAACUUUGAGACUCUUUUUUACCGUUCCCAUGGUCUGUUCUUUAUCAAAUUAUGGUAUUGCUUUGCACUGCUGUAACUAUACGUUAUAAUUACGUGGUCUUGUCAGUGUUAGCCUUUGGUUUGUCCUGUUUUUUUGUGAUAUCACUCUGGAGGAACAUUGCAUCAUUUCUUAAUGCAAGUAUGCAUUUCUAAAUGACAAUAAACAAGGGCUGAGUGUCCUCAUAAUCUAAUCUAAUCUAAAUGAACCUUCUGGAACUCUUGCAUGAGGACUCCUUGAGUCCCUCUGCACCUCUGAUGUUUGAACCUCCUCCCCAUUUCGAUAAUAAUCCGCACUAUUAUUCCUUUUACCAAAAUGCAUUGUCAUACAUUUCCAAUACUGUGUUCCAUUUGCCACUUUUUUGCCCAUUCUUCCAAUUUGUCUAAGUCCAGCUGCAAUCGCAUUGCUUCCUCAGCAUUACCUACCCCUCCACCUGUCUUUGCAUCUUCUGCAAGCUUUGCCACAAUGCCAUCAAUUUCAUUACCUGAAUCAUUAACAAACCAUGUGAAAAGCAGUGAUCCCAAUACUGAUCCCUGAGGAGCAACGCUAGUCAAUGGCAGCCAAACAGAAAAGGCCUCUUUUAUUCCCACUCACUGCCUCCUGCCUGUCUGCUAUUCCGCUAUCUGUGGAAGUAUCUUUCCUGUAAUACCAUUGGAUUUUAUUUUGUUAAGCAGCCUCAUGUGUGGCACCUUAUCAAACGCUUUCU